AAGAAAUAUAAAAUUAACAAACUCACUAAAAAAAAGGUGAUAUUCAUCAAAACACACUAAUGAAAAGGAAAUACUCAUAUCAAAACACACAAAAUGAAAGAGCUGCAGUUUUAGAAGCAAGAUGUAUCUUAUGAGGCUUCUACAUGGUCCCAUGAUCAUAAUAUAACAUCCAAAAUACCCAAAAGGAGAAUAAAAGCACUAAUCCAGCAUAUACUACCAACUUGAGCUGAGUUACUUCUUGGUUUUCUUAGGAGCCACGGCAGCCUGAGGUGCAGGUGCAGGUGCUACUACUGGUGCAGGUACUCGUUCAACUGGGCCCUGGGCGAGUCGCUCCUCCCUCCGUGCAUGCUUCCUCUCCCUACUCGCCUUGCUCUUAGCACGCUUAGCCUCAAACUGGUCAUGCAGCGUCUUCUCCCUCGCCUUCUCAGCCUUCGACUUGUGGAUGCUCUCCAUCAGCACCCUCUUGUUCUUAAACACAUUACCCUUAACCUUCAUAUACAUAUCAUGAUACAUAUGCUUGUCAAUCUUCUUCGACUCACGGUACUUGCGCAGCAGGCGGCGCAAAACCCUCAUCCUCCUCAUCCAAAUAAUCUUAGUCGGCAACCUCGCCUCCCUCGUUCCCUUGCGCUUACCGUAUCCGGAGUGACGGCCCUUGCGCUUGGCUUCGAGAGCACGCCUGGCGCGGGAUCGAGAGUGGAUCUUCUGGGGCUUGCGGAUGACGAAGCCGUCCUUGACGAGCUUCCUGAUGUUCUGGCGAGAAUUGGCCAUGGAGAUCUCGCUGACUUCAUUGGGGUCGAGCCAGACCUUACCCUUGCCGCACUUGAGGACGCUUGCGGCGAGGCGCUUCUGGAGAGUGAGGGAAACCAUCGCCGCUCUCUGUGGUUCUCCG
rnacentral:misc_RNA from 1 species